GGGGCGGCCAAACGGCAGGCCGCGCCCCGCCUCCCUUAAAGGGGAAGCCCGGGGAGCCCGCCUCUGCGCCCCACGCCUGAAUGGGACCCGGCAGGGAAGGUGGCUCGGUCCUUCUUGCCGUCCCUCCCGCAGGGAGUUGCAGCUCCUCCCGGCUCGCUCCGCCGGGCCUCACGGGCCUUUUCCCUUCCCAUCCGGCGGUCCGAGCGCGGCUCCUCGCGAGCCUGCAAAGGAGCAGCAAGGGGCCCUUUUUCGGACGACCCGGAGCUAGGCCUGCGGGACUGCGCGCCCCGGCGGGCGGCUCCCGGCAUGCGCGGCGACUGCGUUCCCGCCGCUGCUGAGCUCGCCCGGGGCUGCCGCCCGCCUCCUGCUGGGCCCUCGGGCUCGCCCUGCCCUGCGGAGCUGAUCGGGGAGGUGGACAGUGCUCCCUUCGGCCCCGGCGUCGUGCGCCCUGCGCAGGAAUCUACUGUGUCAUUUAGGGGGACGAGAUGCGGGACAGCCUCUGCCUGCCAACGCGUUGGUCCUUAAAAACAACUACGUUUGGGGGGUGUCAGAACAUUUAAGCAUUGGACGUCGGCGAGGCUUCCAGGGACACACGCCAGCUUUACGGGAGGUUUUGCUCAAUCCUGUCCCGCGACUACAACCAGAGGGGACCCGGGGCGUGGAGACGCGAGUAAAAACCUAGCCACGGGCGGGCCCUCGGCCCCACGGUCUGCGUGAUCUCCUAGUGGGGUUUCGUUUCGGUGUAGUGUAAACGAGAUGCCCUGCGGAGGAGCUGAUUUUAAUUACAGAUAGACUUUUUUGGAAGAAACGGGUGUCAAUAGAACGAAUGCCUGGAGAAUUUUAAUGGAAUGCCUAUGUAAACACGCCCUAUUCUCAUGGAAUUACUCAUUCAUACCAGUCAUGUCCUCCCUCAGGAACCAGAAGCAACCUCAUCCUCUUGAUACAAAGCCUGCUCCUGUGGCUGUUCACUACUUCCAAGUGCAGGCUCCACCUGGACCUGUGUGAAGUAGCUGUUCUCCUCGAACAGCUGGCAGGAACAGAUGCUAGUGGAGGGAUGUACCCUUGACCAUCAGUCGGAAUGAAGAAGGAUGUGCACACAGCGUGAGGCAGACGAAAUGCGUAUCAGCUGGAGUAUAAAGUGGGUGCUGUGGAUUCCUGUGUGUGUCGUACCGGAGGAAGGUCAGCAGCAGCUGCAACCACAGAAUGGGAACCUGGGAGGACAGAGUAGGAAGCAGCUCAUUUCCUCUGCACAUUUUGGCUGUUAGACUUGUGUGUAUGUUUUAUUUGCUUCUUUUUUGAGACAGAGUCUCACUCCCUCACCCAUG